AUAAAAUAAGUGUUAACAUGACAUAGGUCUACAUAACAUGUCAAAUAUAAAUGAAAAAGUAUAUUAAAGAGGACUUUUAUUCACCCUAACAUGACUUAGUAAAACAUAUAUUCAAAAAGUUGUCAAAUGAACUUGAAAAAUAAUGCGUUAUAAUUAGGAAUGACAAUCGGGUACGGCGGGCACGGAUAGUGACCAUCCAUGCCCGUACCCGCGAGCGAAGGCAGUAUCCGCCACUCCACCCGUGACCCGUGACGGGUACUCUCUACCACCCUCACCCGUCAGCCGCAUAUACCUGCCACUCGUCCGGUACCCACUUCGUAUCCACCACCCGACCCGUGACCCAUGAUGGGUACUCUCUGCCACCCACACCCGUCACCUGCAGAUACCCGCCAUCCGUCGGGUAUCCGCUAACCCGCUACUCGUCAGAUACCUGCCACCCGCAAACUUAAAAAAGAAUAUAUAUAAAUAUUGCACAUAUUAAAUUAUGGAAUAAUAUAGCAAAAAAAAGAAAAUGUUCUAUAUAAAUUAAAAAUAUUACACUCAUGUCAAAGCUCGAUCAUUAUAUUACAACUAUCAUAGAAAGAAAAUGUUAAUUUUUAUUUUUGUCUUAAAUUUGAAUGAUUGAGAAGUAGGAGCUACAAAAUAGUUGUAGACUUGUAGCACACAGUGAGGGAUUUAUCUCGCCAGAAAAAUUAAACAUAGUAUAGUAAAUAAAGCAAACGCUACUUUCUUAAUUCACAUGCCAAAAAAGAAAAAAAAAGUAUUUUAGUUAUUUUCGUUCUUCUCAAAUUUCAAAAAAUUCACAUGCCAAUAUUCACAACUUCUCCACCAAUCAAAUUCUAAGUUUCACACUUUUUAUUUCACAACUCUCCUCGUUUUAGCAUGUCCAUCUCGUUCCAUCGAUUAAAUACCAUCACCAAGACACAGGAACCAACAACCUUGGUUGCUUCAUUGUUCCCUUGCAAUGAGAAGUUUUGAAAUGAACAAUGACCAAGUGAGCAAAAAAUGCACAUGCAGCAACAAUGACAUCUUAGCUGCAGUCAAUUCUAUAAAAUUUGGAAAAAUCAACCUAGCUCUUGUUACUUGUCUUUCACAUAGCAGUUUCCUAACAUCAUACCGAAUAUUCCUUUCUUUUUAUUUCAUACUACAUACAUAUGACAAAUUUAAUUAUGUUGCAUCUGUAAAAAUUGUAUGAGCCUUGCACUCCAACCAGGCAUAGCAACAAAAAUGUAUCAUUGAUUUUCGUAUGUACCAACCUCUGCUUCAGCCUGCCAAAUAAAUAGGGGUCACAAUAGCCAGAAUACGUUACACAAAUCCCAAGUCUCUAUUACCUGGGCAAAAUAAUCAUAAUUGAAACAUUGUAACAUGAAUAUAUAAUGAAUAACAAUGCAAAUCUAAUGAUUUUCUAAUACAAUCACAAUACUACUAUAAUUCAUAUAGAGUGCAGAUGUUGUGUGAAUGUAAUUUUCUUAAACAAAAAUUACAAUUCCAUAGCUAUAUAUUUAAUGCAGCAAUCACCAUAAAAGGUCUUAUGAGUAUCAAUUUAAGGGAUUCAAAUAAAUUCACAUUUCCUACGCUAUUACCAUUUGAUUCUCACCAUAAGAUUUCAAGAUUCAAAGCAAGCUACUACAACGGAAAAGGGGCAACCAAAGAUCCAAAAACUGCAUCCUGGGUUUUAAAAAGCCCGAGGCGCACGAGGCGCAAACAUGCCUCGGAGCCUAGGCGCAGGGCUUUAAGCGCAGGCGCGGGCUUUUCGUAGGCGAGGCGCAGUAAAGCCUAAAAAAUUCUAAUAUAUUUACCUACAUUAUAUUUUAUACCAAAAACACAACUUAAAACCACAAAUAGUACUUAAACACACAUAUACUUAAUCCAAAACACACAAAUACUUAAUCCAAAACACACAAAUACUUAAGUUUUAAAAUAUGCAAGUCUAAAAGUACGAUCAAAUAUCAAACAAGUAAUCAAAAAUCAUCAUCCUCAAGUCCAUCAUCCUCAAAUGCGUCAUCCCCAUCAUCUUUGUCUUCACCAAUGUCCUCUUCCAUCUCAUUCACUUCCCU
rnacentral:lncRNA from 1 species